AUUGAACGCUGGUGGCAGGCCUAACACAUGCAAGUCGAGCGGAUGAAGGGAGCUUGCUCCUGGAUUCAGCGGCGGACGGGUGAGUAAUGCCUAGGAAUCUGCCUGGUAGUGGGGGAUAACGUCCGGAAACGGGCGCUAAUACCGCAUACGUUCUGAGGGAGAAAGUGGGGGAUCUUCGGACCUCACGCUAUCAGAUGAGCCUAGGUCGGAUUAGCUAGUUGGUGGGGUAAAGGCCUACCAAGGCGACGAUCCGUAACUGGUCUGAGAGGAUGAUCAGUCACACUGGAACUGAGACACGGUCCAGACUCCUACGGGAGGCAGCAGUGGGGAAUAUUGGACAAUGGGCGAAAGCCUGAUCCAGCCAUGCCGCGUGUGUGAAGAAGGUCUUCGGAUUGUAAAGCACUUUAAGUUGGGAGGAAGGGCAGUAAGUUAAUACCUUGCUGUUUUGACGUUACCAACAGAAUAAGCACCGGCUAACUUCGUG
rnacentral:rRNA from 1 species